rnacentral:rRNA from 1 species
AAGUCAGAUGUGAAAGCCUUCUGUUCAACGGAAGAAUUGCAUCUGAAACUGCGAGUCUUGAGUGUAGGAGGGGAGAAUGGAACUUCUGGUGGAGCGGUGAAAUGCGUAGAUAUCAGAAGGAACGCCGGCGGCGAAAGCGAUUCUCUGGCCUAUUACUGACACUCAGUGUGCGAAAGCUAGGGGAGCAAACGGGAUUAGAUACCCCGGUAGUCCUAGCCGUAAACGAUGGGCACUAAGUAGAGGGAAUUACCGAUGUUCUCUCUGCCGUAGCUAACGCAUUAAGUGCCCCGCCUGGGGAGUACGGCCGCAAGGCUAAAACUCAAAAGAAUUGACGGGGGCUCGCACAAGCGGUGGAGCAUGUGGCUUAAUUCGAUGCAACGCGAAAAACCUUACCGGGGCUUGACAUGGUAGAAGUAGGAACCCGAAAGGGUAACGAACGGUAUCCAGUCCGUAGCUAUUACAGGUGUUGCAUGGCUGUCGUCAGCUCGUGUCGUGAGACGUUGGGUUAAGUCCCCUAACGAGCGAAACCCUUAUUUUUAGUUACCAGCGGGUUAUGCCGGGUACUCUAGAAAGACUGCCGUCGUCAAGACGGAGGAAGGUGGGGAUGACGUCAAGUCAUCAUGGCCCUUAUGCCCCGGGCUGCACACGUGCUACAAUGGUCGGUACAAACGGAAGCGAAGCCGAGAGGUGAAGCGAAUCCAAGC